UAUUCCGGAAGCCGCGACAAAAGCGGAGCUUGCUCCCGGAGGUUACCGGCGGAGGGGUGAGUAACACGUGGGUAACCAAACUGUAAGACUGGGAUAACUCCUGGAAACCGGAGCUAAUACCGGAUAGUUCCUUGAACCGCAGGGUUCAGGGAUGAAAGACGGUUUCGGCUGUCACUUACAGAUGGACCCGCGGCGCACUAUCUAGUUGGUGGGGUAAUGGCUCACCAAGGGGACCAUGCGUAGCCCACCUGAGAGGGUGAUCGGCCACACUGGGACUGAGACACGGCCCAAACUCCUACGGGAGGCAGCAGUAGGGAAUCUUCCGCAAUGGACGAAAGUCUGACGGAGCAACGCCGCGAGAGUGAUGAAGGUUUUCGGAUCGUAAAGCUCUGUUGUUAGGGAAGAACAAGUGCAAGAGUAACUGCUCGCACCUUGACGGUACCUAACCAGAAAGCCACGGCUAACUACGUGCCAGCAGCCGCGGUAAUACGUAGGUGGCAAGCGUUGUCCGGAAUUAUUGGGCGUAAAGGGCUCGCAGGCGGUUUCUUAAGUCUGAUGUGAAAGCC
rnacentral:rRNA from 1 species